CACGUAGGGGACGAGCGUUGUCCGGAUUCAUUGGGCGUAAAGCGCGCGUAGGCGGCCCGGUAAGUCCGCUGUAAAAGUCAAAGGCUCAACCUUUGAAUGUCAGUGGAUACUGCCGGGCUAGAGUCCGGAAGAGGCGAGUGGAACUCCUGGUGUAGCGGUGGAAUGCGCAGAUAUCAGGAAGAACACCGACGGCGAAGGCAGCUCGCUGGGACGUUACUGACACUGAGGCGCGAAAGCGUGGGGAGCGAACAGG
rnacentral:rRNA from 1 species